rnacentral:rRNA from 1 species
GAUGAACGCUAGCGGCAGGCCUAAUACAUGCAAGUCGGACGGGAUCCAUCGGAGAGCUUGCUCGAAGAUGGUGAGAGUGGCGCACGGGUGCGUAACGCGUGAGCAACCUACCUCUAUCAGGGGGAUAGCCUCUCGAAAGAGGGAUUAACACCGCAUAACAUAUCUGACCGGCAUCGGUUGGAUAUUAAAUAUUUAUAGGAUAGAGAUGGGCUCGCGUGACAUUAGCUAGUUGGUAGGGUAACGGCUUACCAAGGCGACGAUGUCUAGGGGCUCUGAGAGGAGAAUCCCCCACACUGGUACUGAGACACGGACCAGACUCCUACGGGAGGCAGCAGUAAGGAAUAUUGGUCAAUGGGCGGAAGCCUGAACCAGCCAUGCCGCGUGCAGGAUGACUGCCCUAUGGGUUGUAAACUGCUUUUGUCCAGGAAUAAACCUAGAUACGUGUAUCUGGCUGAAUGUACUGGAAGAAUAAGGAUCGGCUAACUCCGUGCCAGCCGCCGCGGUAA